UGGGAAUGGAACGUGACAUAAGAUCUACGUUGAAGCAGAAACCUGAAAAGUUGAGAUGAAUUAGAGAGAUCCUAAGGAUUGAUCCAGCUCUAUUCUCCUCCAUGCUGAAACUCCUUUGGAAAGAACGUCCAGACAACUACUGUGACCAACGAUCAGUCUUUGCAGAUAUGAAAGAGGCCUUGGUUUAACAUCUCAAUUGAAAAACGCAGGCAAGUGCAACAGUAACACUUUCACAGAG